AGGACGAACGCUGGCGGCGUGCCUAACACAUGCAAGUUGAGCGACGAACCAGGGCUUGCCCUGGGGCAAAGCAGCGAACGGGUGAGUAACACGUGGGUAACCUGCCCCGAUUACCGGGACAACCCGAGGAAACUCGGGCUAAUACCGGAUGUGCUCGUCAGACCCAAGUCUGACGCGUAAAGGAAGCUUCGGCCUCCGAAGUCGGGAGGGGCCCGCGGCCCAUUAGCUUGUGGUGAGGUAACGGCUCACCAAGGCGACGAUGGGUAGCUGGUCUGAGAGGACGAUCAGCCACACUGGGACUGAGACACGGCCCAGACUCCUACGGGAGGCAGCAGUGGGGAAUCUUGCGCAAUGCGACGAAAGCGUGACGCAGUAACGCCGCGUGGGAAGAAGGCCUUCGGGUGUAAACCCUUCGUACGUUGGACGAAGCUUCGAGCGGUGAAGUACGCCGUAGUGGAGUGACGGUACCUUCGAC
rnacentral:rRNA from 1 species